GGGGUAGUAACUCAGCGGUAGAGUGCUCGCUUUGCAGUAUCCUCUGUGAAAGAGGGUUCGAAGAUGCGAGAAGCCCAGGGUUCAAUCCCCUGCUACUCCA